GACGAACGCUGGCGGCGUGCCUAAUACAUGCAAGUCGAGCGAACAGACUUGGUACUUGUACCUAUGACAUUAGCGGCGAACGGGUGAGUAACACGUGGAUAACCUACCUAUAAGACUGGGAUAACAUCGGGAAACGGGUGCUAAUACCGCAUAAAAACUUUAAACACAAGGUUUAAUAGUGAAAGACGCAAUUGCAGCACCCUAAAGAUAGAUCCGCGCCUAAUUAGCUAGUUGGUAAGGUAACGGCCAACCAAGCCAACGAUGAAUAGCCGACCGGCGAGGGUGAUCGGCCACACUGGAACUGAGACACGGUCCAAACUCCUACGGGAGGCAGCAGUAGGGAAUCUUCGGCAAUGGACGAAAGCCUGACCGAGCAACGCCGCGUGAGUGAAGAAGGUUUUCGGAUCGUAAAACUCUGUUGGUAGAGAAGAACGUUGGUGAGAGUAGAAAGCCAAUUAUGGGACGGAAACUAUCAGAAAGGCGCCGGUGAAUUACGG
rnacentral:rRNA from 1 species